rnacentral:rRNA from 1 species
GCUAAAGGGUUUCCGCUAGGUGAACCUGCGGCAGGAUCAUUAU